rnacentral:rRNA from 1 species
UACGGGGGGGGGCAAGCGUUGUUCGGAAUUACUGGGCGUAAAGGGCUCGUAGGUGGCCAACUAAGUCGGACGUGAAAUCCCUCAGCUUAACUGGGGAACUGCGUCCGAUACUGGAUGGCUUGAGUUUGGGAGAGGGAUGCGGAAUUCCAGGUGUAGCGGUGAAAUGCGUAGAUAUCUGGAGGAACACCGGUGGCGAAGGCGGCAUCCUGGACCAACACUGACACUGAGGAGCAGAAAGCCAGGGGAGCAAACGGG